GGGGUCGGGCGAGGACCGAGCAGCCCGCGGAGGAGCGGGGUGAGGUCUGUGUAUAUAUUUUCAGCCCCGUAUGGAGAUGAAGACUAACAUUCUUGGCCUCAUGUGAAAACCUCUCAUUAAAACUGACGUCUCUGCCUGGUGGGCGCACAGCAUGGCGCACUGGGCAUUUAAACUCUGGGUGUGAAUGGUUAAGAAGCCAGGAGCGCCCGGUCCCCUUCCACCAGACCCCGUGGCCUCCGUCCGCCAGGGAAGUAUUGGGAUGAGGAGGGGUGACCAGUGAAGGGGGAUGUGAUGUGGUGGGAGGCGAUUUCAAAUGCUGAUCUCUUUCUUCCAGGAUCAAGACGGUCAAUACCACCUCUACGCUGACCAGCUCCCAAAUGCAUGUCUUCUCCCUGGAUGCACCCCCUAACUUCAGAAUCCUGCGUCCAACUCCCUGGGAGACAUAGCCACUUGGAUGUCUAAUAGGCAUUUCACACUUACAUCUAAAAUCACACUCCUGAAUUUCCCCCACCUAAACCUUGCUAUUUGGGGGGUCGAACGACCCUUUCACAGGGGUCGCCUAAGACCAUCGGGGAAAACACGUAUAUAAUUACAUAUUGUUUUUGUGAUUAAUCACUAUGUUUUAAUUAUGUUCAAUUUAUAACAAUGAAAAUACAUCCUGCAUAUCAGAUAUUUACAUUAUGAUUCAUAACGGUAGCAAAAUUACAGUUAUGGAGUAGCCACGAAAAUAAUUUUAUGGCUGGGGGUCACCACAACAUGAGGAACUGUAUUAAAGGGUCGCGUCAUUAGGAAGGUUGAGAACCACGGGUCUAGGCCCUAAUCAUAUCUCACUUUUUUAUUGCAGUAACCUUGUAAUUAGUCUCUCCGUUUCAACCUUUGCCUUCCCCUACUUAAAUCUGUUCUCAGCACAACAGCCAUAGCGAUCAUGAGUGAGAUCAUGUUUUUUUCUCUCUUCUAAACUCAUGGUGCCCUAGCUGGUUUUCUCAGUGGUUAGAGCAUCAGCCCACAGACUGAAGGGUCUCAGGUUCGAUUCCGGUCAAGGGCACAUACCUUGGUUGCAGGCUUGAUCCCACCUGUCCCUUCUACUUUCUCUGAAGAUAAAUGGAAAAAAUAUCCUCAGGUGAGGAUUAACAACAACAAAAAACUCAUGGCUUCCCAUCUUGGAGUAAAAAUAAAAAAUUAUUAUUAUGGCCUACAUAGGAUCUGGCCCCCUGGUACAGCUCUCUGACUUCCACUCCUACUGCUCUCCCUUUCUUCACCACCCCCUGCUACACUCACCUCUUAGCUGUUUUUCAAACACACCUGCCAUAUGUCUGCUUGGGUCUUUUCACUUGUUCCCUCCACCUGGUUCACUCCUUCAGAUGUCCUCUCUCUAAAUAUCUUUUCAUCAGAUCUUUUCUAGCCACCCUAUGUAAACUCACAGCUCCCCUCCAAAUCCCUCUCCCCUUUUCUGCUUUAUUUUAAUCCGUAGAACUUAUUACCAUCUAACAUGUAAUUUACCUUAUUUGUUGUUCUGCCCUUCUAGAAUAUAAGCUUCACGUUUUGUUCAUUGCUGUAUCCUCAGCACUUAGAACCAUACCUGGCACACAGUAGGCACCUAAUAAAUAUUCAGUGAAUGAGUAAAUGAGCUGUUUAGUUAUAUUAAAGACAAAGCAUCUACCCUUGACCUUGAGAGUGACAGUCAUAUAACAGCAUAGCGUAAAAAAUAGUAAAACCUGGGGAAGAAGAAAGUUGUCUAGGAGCACAGAAAAGAAAGAACAUACUAUCUUGGAAGGAAUUGAGGAAAUGACAACUGAGGUGGGUCUUAAAGCUUCAGACUGUGGGAGGACAUCUCAGACAUGAGAAUAUUGUGAAGGCAUGGGAUAAAAGAAUGUACUGGAGUAAAUGGGAGAAGUUGGCUGGUGUUUAGCUUGGAUAGUGAGGAGUAUAGGGGAUAAAGCAGGACAAGUGGGUUUUGAGACCAGAUUAUGAAGGUCUGAAGGCCCAGUUAAGGAAUGGAUAAUUUAUUAGCCAAGCUGUACCAUCAAAGGCUGGCAUUGCUCAGUGGUUAGAGUGUCGGCCCAUGUACCCAAGGGUUGUGGGUUCGAUUCUGGUCAAGGACACAUACUUUUUUUUUUUUUUUUUUUUUUCCUGGAACCUUAACAGCUCUAAAGUCCAAUCUAGGAUUUCACUGAUCCAGAUGAAGAAAACAUACUUUUCUUCCCCAAAGCCAAAAGGCUGGCAUUUUGGGAUUGGAAUUCUGAUCUUAAUUCACAGGAUGAGGUGGAUAAUCCACCCGAAAACUGAAACCUGGUAAGAGAAGAUCUUCUAGUAAGGAAAGAAAUCUUGCUUCCAAAUCAUUAGGUUUGAAGCUGUAGUAAUCCUUGACCUAAGACA